rnacentral:rRNA from 1 species
CAAUUUGCGAAAGCACGACAAGGUUAAUCCGAGUGGUUUUUGCUUAAGGAACCUUUUGUUAGUCCUAGAAACACUAACGAAUAAGGGGUGGGCAAGUUCUGGUGUCAGCCGCCGCGGUAAAACCAGCACCUCAAGUGGUCAGGAUGAUUAUUGGGCCUAAAGCAUCCGUAGCCGGCUCUGUACGUUUUCGGUUAAAUCUGUACGCUCAACGUACAGGCUGCCGGGAAUACUGCAGAGCUAGGGAGUGGGAGAGGUAGACGGUACUCGGGAGGAAGUGGUAAAAUGCUUUGAUCUCUCGAUGACCACCUGUGGCGAAGGCGGUCUACCAGAACACGUCCGACGGUGAGGGAUGAAAGCUGGGGGAGCAAACCGGAUUAGAUACCCGGGUAGUCCCAGCUGUAAACUAUGCAAACUCAGUGAUGCAUUGGCUUGUGGCCAAUGCAGUAUUGCAGGGAAGCCGUUAAGUUUGCCGCCUGGGAAGUACGUACGCAAGUAUGAAACUUAAAGGAAUUGGCGGGGGAGCACCACAAGGGGUGAAG